rnacentral:rRNA from 1 species
AGAGUUUGAUCAUGGCUCAGAACGAACGCUGGCGGCAUUGCCUAACACAUGCAAGUCGAACGUGAUCCGGGCUUCGGCCUGGUGAAAGUGGCAGACGGGUGAGUAACGCGUGGGAACCUGCCCUGUGGUAGGGAAUAACCGUGGGAAACUGCGGCUAAUACCCUAUGAGUCCUUCGGGAGAAAGAUUUAUCGCCAUAGGAGGGGCCCGCGUCGGAUUAGGUAGUUGGUGGGGUAACGGCCUACCAAGCCUUCGAUCCGUAGCUGGUCUGAGAGGAUGAUCAGCCACACUGGGACUGAGAUACGGCCCAGACUCCUACGGGAGGCAGCAGUGGGGAAUAUUGGACAAUGGGGGCAACCCUGAUCCAGCAAUGCCGCGUGGAUGAUGAAGGCCUUCGGGUUGUAAAGUCCUUUCGGCGGGGAAGAUGAUGACGGUACCCGCAGAAGAAGCCCCGGCUAACUUCGUGCCAGCAGCCGCGGUAAUACGAAGGGGGCUAGCGUUGUUCGGAAUUACUGGGCGUAAAGGGCGCGUAGGCUGUGCUGUAAGUCAGGCGUGAAAGCCCCGGGCUCAACCUGGGAAUUGCGCUUGAUACUGCGGCGCUGGAAGGUGGGAGAGGAUGGCGGAAUUCCCAGUGUAGAGGUGAAAUUCGUAGAUAUUGGGAAGAACACCGGUGGCGAAGGCGGCCAUCUGGCCCACAUUUGACGCUGAGGCGCGAAAGCGUGGGGAGCAAACAGGAUUAGAUACCCCCGUAGUCC